rnacentral:lncRNA from 1 species
UUAUUUUUUUUGUUUUUUUUUUGAAAGCUUUUCUCCUCUAAGUCCGAUUCUAAAUCCAAAAUUUACAGACAAGCACGCUAUAAGCCUAGAUCUAAACGAAAAGAAAACGUUUAUACCCUUUUCGUGUUGUUCGAACCGUCGGUCUUGGAUUUGAUUUCUGUAUGGUCACCUGAGUCUGGAUCUGCGGUUGGCUCUUGUUUGUCUGUGCGGGUCAGAAUUGUUGUGACUUGGUGGUAUCUGCGUGCGUCUUUGGGAUGCGAUUAUGGCUUUAUCUGUGUUCUGCUUCUUGUGCGCUUCUCUGGAUUUCUCU